CGGCGUUCCAGUGUGUGUGUGUCACCCACGACACGACGCCUCCCCUAAACCUCCGCGUCGCCAUUCCCCCCUCCAGCCCGCCGCGAUGGCCGGAGGCGGCGGCAAGCCGUUCGGGGACAACGUGUUCGCCGGCCACGCGGCCGCCGGCGCCGCGGCGAUCAGCGCCUCCGCGGUCGCCGUCCACCCCCUCGACACCGUCAAGAGCCUCCUCCAGUUGAGCGCGGCGGGGCAGAAGCAGAAGAUGGAGAUCCGCCAUGCGGUGGACCGGCUCAUGCACGUCUCCGGCCCUGCAGGUCUUUACAGUGGCAUUGGAUGGUCAAUAUUAGGUAAACUGCCUGGUUUGGGAGCGCGUUUUGGGACCUAUGAGCUUUUAACAGCCUUCUAUAAAGAUGGCAGGGAGGACAACCAUGUUAAUUAUUCUGAGGCAAUGUUGGCUGGCAUAACUGCUGGUGCUGUAGAGGCAUUUGUGUGCACACCAUUUGAACUUCUCAAACUUCGGUCCCAAGUUGGUUCUGCCAUACCUAUGAAAGCUACGAACCCUGCUAAUGUUGUACAGGAGUCGUUUCCACUGCUUUCCAAGCUAUUACCUGGUCAUGUCCCUGACAUGAGAGUAUGGAAUGGCAGUGUCAGUCUGUUGUCCAAUCUUUCCCCAAAGCAUCCUGACAUGAUGGGUGCCCUGAAACAGCACCCAUGGAUGCUGACUGGCUCUGGGAAGCCCCCGUUACCCUCUGAUGUUCAGGUGCCUUCGAGAGUGAUAGCACUUGAAGGAUGGGGUGCUUUAUGGAGAGGACUUAGGCCAGGGGUAGCCCGAGACUGUGUCUUUAGUGGAAUGUUCUUUUCUUGUUGGCAAUUCAUACAUACAGCGAUGCUUACUUGGCAGUCUGUUAACAUGAACCCUGAACCCAGGAAUUUAGAAGAAGCAGGUCCUGUACCCCCUUUAGCUUCUAGUCUUGCUGCAGGCUUCUCUGGAGUUGUAGCAGCUGCUGCUUCACAUACUUUUGAUACUGCCAAAAGUCGUUCACAGUGCACUGUGAUACCUAAGUAUAUAGCAAUGGAGAGGAGGUUUCUUAAAUGGAGAGCACCAGGAAUGUGGAUAGAGAGAGUGACGGGAACAUCACCUGCUGAUAGGAAUGUUCUAUUUCGUGGCAUUGGACUACGGAUGGCGCGCAGUGGAAUCGCAUCUUUUGUACUUGUUGGGUCCUACUAUUUAGCCGUAGAUCAGCUCUUGUAGAUGGCAGUCAGAGAAAUCAUUAAUGAAAUUCAAACACCUAAACUAUGUGGUACCUUUUUCGUCUGAACAACCAGAGAAGAGGUAACUAUGUGGUAACUUUUUCGUCUCUUCCAGUCUUAAUUGGAGUUGAGUGCUCCAGGAUAGAAUUUUGGUUACUAAUGUAAAUGUUUAUAACAAACAGAAUUGAAGGUUCGCCUUUGGUUUUGUUGCUUGUGUUGAAGAGAUAUUAAGUGUUUUUAUAUGGAAAAUGCUUAGUUGCUCGGGUGAACGAUGAAAGACAACUAUUGAAGUGUCCAAGGUUAAUUUUGGCAGCAGUGAGCAAUAAAAGGGACUUCGAUAAUUUGCAAUGCAGCCUGCUCUUUGAGUAUACAAUUUGGAAGAUGGCUGGUCGAUUCCAAUAGCUUUGUUAAUCCAUUGUACAAUAUUUAUAACUCCAAUCACAUACUAUAUGUGAUGGAUCUUGUAGCUGGUAGCUAUGAGGUAC
rnacentral:rRNA from 1 species